rnacentral:rRNA from 1 species
CCUACGGGAGGCUGCAGUGGGGAAUAUUGGACAAUGGGCGAAACCCUGAUGCAGCAAUGCCGCGUGAGUGAAGAAGGUUUUCGGAAUGUAAAGUUCUAUCCUAUGGGAAGAAAAAAAUGACAGUUCCAUAGGAGGACCCCCUUGCUAACUACGUGCCAGCAGCAGCGGUAAUACGGAGGGAGCGAGCGUUGUCCGGUAUUACUGGGCGUAAAGAGAGCGUAGGCGGCACUACAAGUCUGAUGUGAAAGACACGGGCUUAACUUGGGGGUUGUAUGGGAAACUGUAGAGCUUGAGUACAGGAGAGGCAAGCGGAAUUCCUAGUGUAGCGGUGAAAUGCAUAGAUAUCAGGAGGAACGCCAGUGGCGAAGGCGGCUUGCUGGACUGAAACUGACGUUGAGGCUCGAAAGCGUGGGGAGCAAACAGGAUUAGAUACCCUAGUAGUC